rnacentral:lncRNA from 10 species
AAAUCCCCGCCCGCUUCCGGGGCUCUGCGGCGGCGGAGUGCUACCUUGCAGCAUUAAGAUGGAUUUGACUAGAAAAGAUGAGAAGGGCCUACAAACAACAGGGUCUCACCAUGUUGCCCAGGCUGGAGUGCAGUGGCACAAUCACAGCUCACUGCAGCCUCGACCUCCUGGGCUUGAGCGAUCUUGCUGCCUCAGCCUCCUGAGUAACUGGGACUACAUGAGUAGCUGGGACUACAGGCUGUAAAUGAGGAGAUUCAGCAUGGGAGUGAUCACGCUGUACUGCAAGGAGAAGAUCAGCUCUUGAAUGGAUCCUGAAUUUGGCAUGAGAUAGCGGAGUAAUCCGGAGCCAUAAAAGAAAAUCACUGCAGUGAGGUGGGAGGAGCAGGUGGAGAAGGCUUUGCUUCUGCCUGUAGUGGAGCUGAUCCUCAGGAUGGUGGACAAAAUGCAAAUAUAAGACAAGAAUAUCAUGAGAAAAUUUCCAAAGAAAUGCAGGAAGCUGGAGCAGAGCAGGGUGGUAAAACUUGCUGACACAUCAGAGCAAGACAAAGGAUAGAGAGAGGGC